CCACAGGGUCCUGGUUCACCGGUCCUGGGAUGAGGACCCGGAGCCCCUGGAGCCAGAGCCCAAGGAGUCCGGGGCAGGAGCGGAAGCCGGUGUGGCUCCAGAGCCCGACCCAAGGGCAUCGGGGUCCUCGGAGUCUCUGCAGUCAGGGGUGGAGUCUGGAGCAACUCAUGCAGGGGCCUGGGACCCAGCAAGUGACCUGGGACCUGUGCGGGGACAGCAGGCAACUGAGCAGAGUCAGCUGGGUCCUGCUUCUGCUCCGGCUUCUCCUGGUUCCACUGUUCCUGCUUCUGAUCCCAACACUGUUCCGGCCCCUGACCUUGUCCCCGCCCCUGCCCCCGCCCCUGUCAACGCCCUUCUCCCUGCCCCUGCCCCCGCCCUUGCUCCCACAUGGAUGCCAGUCACAAAUCAAGGGCCUGAAGGCCUACACGGGGUGUUUACUUUACUUUAUUUGUGUUAUAUUUUAUUUCAAAUUUAUUCUCCAAUCCCUGACCCCGACCCCCCACCAGAAUAUCUCUUCUUCUUCUCCCUUAUACUUUUUCUCUUCUACUUUUUAGCUGUUACUUUAUUUGUUCAUUAGUUAUAAUCUGUAUUAAUCUUCAAUAAAAAGUUUUAUUUAUCUUA